GAUGACGUGCCUGAGUCGGAGAAAGGCUUGGAUUUCUAAUCCAAUGUUUGAGAGUUCGAAUCUCUCCGUCAUCGCCA
rnacentral:tRNA from 1 species